AGGAGAACGUUGCCACUCCUUGAGCGGCAAGGAUAACAUUUUGACGAUUUCUAAUAUUGACACCUAUGUAUACAAUAAUGCACAGAUAAACAUCCAUUCCGGUUGCAGUUUUGCUAGUGCUGGGAUCAGGCCACUUUAUGUUUUUCUUUUUCUAUGGCCAUUCUCUUUUGAGGGAGAAUGGUGUCUGAAUCAGCGGUAAGAUUCAUAACUAACGUGUUCACAGCCUUAGCCAGGCGUUAUGUGGGUUAAAAAGGUUCAUCUUCUUAUAAAGGUGUUUCAGUUCUCCUAUGCUAACGGGUAUCAAUGGUUUGUCUCUGUGGUCGUAUGUGCCAGUGCUACCCUACUGCAGGCAAUGCAUGGCAUGACACAAAUUAUAAUGAUUAUUCAACUUCGAUACACGAGUUCAGGGGACGGAAAGCCUUUGAAGACACGGAUUUUAUAAUGCCAAAUUAGAGCUAGAGCAAAGAAUAAGGAUGCUCAUUAUUAAUAUUAUUAUUAUUUAUCUGAAGAAAGAAACUAUUAUUCAAGAAGGAUGCAUGCCUGCCGAUUAUUUUGUAGUAAAAAGAAAAGCCCAUUUAUACUUUAACUCGGCUGCCAGGGAAAUAUGUUCACUUGGUUCACAAACGAUGAACUAUUGGCAACCAAGCAAAUCAUACAAUAAUAAAAAUUAAAUUCAGUAUUUGGUUUUAGUGAUAAGG
rnacentral:misc_RNA from 1 species